GUAAUUGAUUUUAAUAUAGUGGAUGAGAUUGAAAAUCCUCGUGUCGGUGGUUCGAUUCCGCCCCUGGGCACCA
rnacentral:tRNA from 1 species